AUAAUAGUCACCGGAGCGACACUUUCGCGUGAAGUGGGUCAGGGGAGGAAUCCAGCAGCCCUAAGCGAUGCUAAGUGUGUGCUCUUUUUACGUAUAGAAAA
rnacentral:SRP_RNA from 1 species